GCUCAAAUUUGAAAUCUCGUUGGUCCGCCAGCGCGAAUUGUAGUUUAGAGAAACGUUUUCGGGAGGGGCGUGGGCAUAAGUCCUUUGGAACGAGGCAUCAUAGAGGGUGAGAAUCCCGUUUAUGGUCCACUGUUCCCUCCUAUGUGAUACGUUUUCCACGAGUCGGUUUGUUUGGGAAUGCAGACCAAAAUGGGUGGUAAAUACCAUCUAAAGCUAAAUAUUGGCGAGAGACCGAUAGCGAACAAGUACCGUGAGGGAAAGAUGAAAAGAACUUUGAAAAGAGAGUUAAACAGUACGUGAAAUUGUCAAAAGGGAAACGCUUGGAACCAGUAUUGCCGGCAGGUAAUCAGCCGUGUCACAAGCACGGUGCACUUGCCUGCUGGCAGGUCAGCAUCAGUUUGGCUUGAGGUAAAAAGCCAGGAGAAGGUGGCCCGGGGUUCGCUCUGGGUGUUAUAGCUCCUGGUCAUGCCUUGGGCUGGACUGAGGAAUGCAGCGUUUUUUGGGUUACCGGUAGCCUCCUGAUUGCCCUCCGUAGACAGCUUGCUGAUUGCGGGUGGAAGUAGGGAGCUCUGUCGGGAUUCCACACCAACGCUUAGGAUGCUGACGAAAUGGUUUUAAACGACCCGUCUUGAAACACGGACCAAGGAGUCUAACAUAUAUGCGAGUAUUUGGGUGUCAAACCCUUAUGCGUAAUGAAAGUGAACUUAGGUGGGAUCUUCGGUGCACCAUCGACCGGUCUGGAUUUUUUUGAUAGAUCUGAGUAAGAGCAUAUCUGUUGGGACCCGAAAGAUGGUGAAUCUAUGCCUGAAUAGGGUGAAGCCAGAGGAAACUCUGGUGGAGGCUCGUAGCGAUUCUGACCGUGCAAAUCGAUCGUCAAAUUUGGGU
rnacentral:rRNA from 1 species